rnacentral:rRNA from 1 species
AUUGAACGCUGGCGGGAUGCCUUACACAUGCAAGUCGAGCGGAGUGGCGGACGGGUGAGUAAUGCCUAGGAACCUGCCCGGUAGCGGGGGAUAACUACCGGAAAGGGGCGCUAAUACCGCAUACUAUUGGAUCAGCCUAGGUCGGUUUAGCUAGUUGGUGGGGUAAAGGCCUACCAAGGCGACGAUCCGUAACUGGUCUGAGAGGAUGAUCAGUCACACUGGAACUGAGACACGGUCCAGACUCCUACGGGAGGCAGCAGUGGGGAAUAUUGGACAAUGGGCGAAAGCCUGAUCCAGCCAUGUCGCGUGUGUGAAGAAGGUCUUCGGAUUGUAAAGCACUUUAAGUUGGGAGGCGUUACCAGCAGAAUAAGCACCGGCUAACUUCGUGCCAGCAGCCGCGGUAAUAC